CAGCAGCCGCGGGAAUACGUAGGGUGCAAGCGUUAAUCGGAAUUACUGGGCGUAAAGCGUGCGCAGGCGGUUAUAUAAGACAGAUGUGAAAUCCCCGGGCUCAACCUGGGAACUGCAUUUGUGACUGUAUAGCUAGAGUACGGCAGAGGGGGAUGGAAUUCCGCGUGUAGCAGUGAAAUGCGUAGAUAUGCGGAGGAACACCGAUGGCGAAGGCAAUCACCUGGGCCUGUACUGACGCUCAUGCACGAAAGCGUGGGGAGCAAACAGGAUUAGAUACCCCCGUAGUCCCUGUCUCUUAUAC
rnacentral:rRNA from 1 species